rnacentral:sRNA from 1 species
UAGCCAAUAUGUAGGUCCAGGAACAUCUUUAGGUUGGCCAUAUAGAACCUACUCUUAGUCCAUGGAAUACACUAAUUUUUGUAAUUAAGAAAAAGUCUGGUAAAUAGAGGUUAUUACAAGAUCUCAAGGCAAUUAAUCAUGUUAUUCAGCUUCUGGGAGCUUUACAAUCAGGGCUUCCUUCUCCUAUAGCCAUUCCUUUAGAUUAUAAUCUACUGGUGAUAGAUUUAAAGGAUUGUUUCUUCACUAUACCUUUGCAUUCAGAUGACUGUAAAAAUUUGCCUUUAG